rnacentral:rRNA from 1 species
AGCGAACGCUGGCGGCAGGCCUAACACAUGCAAGUCGAACGGACCUUUCGGGGUUAGUGGCGGACGGGUGAGUAACACGCGGGAACGUGCCUUUUGGUUCGGAACAACUUGGGGAAACUUAAGCUAAUACCGGAUGUGCCCUUAGGGGGAAAGAUUUAUCGCCAUUAGAGCGGCCCGCGUCUGAUUAGCUAGUUGGUGGGGUAAAGGCCUACCAAGGCGACGAUCAGUAGCUGGUCUGAGAGGAUGAUCAGCCACAUUGGGACUGAGACACGGCCCAAACUCCUACGGGAGGCAGCAGUGGGGAAUCUCGCGCAAUGGGCGAAAGCCUGACGCAGCCAUGCCGCGUGAAUGAUGAAGGUCUUAGGAUUGUAAAAUUCUUUCACCGGGGACGAUAAUGACGGUACCCGGAGAAGAAGCCCCGGCUAACUUCGUGCCAGCAGCCGCAGUAA